rnacentral:rRNA from 1 species
GAUGAACGCUGGCGGCGUGCCUAAUACAUGCAAGUCGAGCGAACAGACGAGGAGCUUGCUCCUUUGACGUUAGCGGCGGACGGGUGAGUAACACGUGGAUAACCUACCUAUAAGACUGGGAUAACUUCGGGAAACCGGAGCUAAUACCGGAUAACAUGUUGAACCGCAUGGUUCAACAGUGAAAGACGGUCUUGCUGUCACUUAUAGAUGGAUCCGCGCCGCAUUAGCUAGUUGGUAAGGUAACGGCUUACCAAGGCAACGAUGCGUAGCCGACCUGAGAGGGUGAUCGGCCACACUGGAACUGAGACACGGUCCAGACUCCUACGGGAGGCAGCAGUAGGGAAUCUUCCGCAAUGGGCGAAAGCCUGACGGAGCAACGCCGCGUGAGUGAAGAAGGUCUUCGGAUCGUAAAACUCUGUUAUUAGGGAAGAACAAAUGUGUAAGUAACUAUGCACGUCUUGACGGUACCUAAUCAGAAAGCCACGGCUAACUACGCG